rnacentral:rRNA from 1 species
GACGAAGGGGGCUAGCGUUGCUCGGAAUUACUGGGCGUAAAGCGAGUGUAGGUGGUUGUCCAAGUUGGAUGUGAAAGCCUUGAGCUUAACUCAAGAAAUGCAUUCAGGACUGGGCGACUAGAGGACCGGAGAGGAUAGUGGAAUUCCCAGUGUAGUGGUGAAAUACGUAGAGAUUGGGAAGAACACCAGUGGCGAAGGCGGCUAUCUGGACGGUUUCUGACACUAAGACUCGAAAGCGUGGGGAGGCAAACAGG